UGGUGCGAUCAUACAAGCACUACUGUACCGGAUCCCAUCAGAACUCCGCAGUCAAGCGUGCCUGGGCGAGAGUAGUACUAGGCUAGGUAAUCUCCUGGGAAGUCCUCGUAUUGCACCCU
rfam:Gossypium raimondii scaffold_723_contig_1, whole genome shotgun sequence.